GGAAGUUACUGCCUUGCUCUCUGGACCUCCUGUCUCUUUUCUCUGAAUCUUCAUUCCCUCCUGUUCCUCUGUCUCUGACCCUGUCUCCAUGUCUGUCUCUUCCACUGCCUGGCUCCUUCCUCUUCUUCACUUGCUUCUGACAGUCAGGGUUUCUGCCUCGCCCCGUCUUUCUCUCUGUCCCUCCACGUCUUUGUUUUUCUCAUCUCCGCUUCUCUCUCCCUCCGUGUCCAGGUCUCUUCCUGUCCAUCCAUCUCUCAGCCUCAGCCUAGCUCGGUCCUCCACUCUGAUUCUCUCCCAUCCAUCUCCCUGGGCCUGACAGAGGCUCUUUGUCGAGUCUCUUCCUCUGUCUGCCCCCAUCCGUUGUUUUCUCUGUAUGUCGCUGGCUGCGCAUGUGCCACUGUUUCUAUCAUUUUCUCUCCAUCUAGCCAUUGAUCUCUGAUUCCCCUGCUCCGCUUCUCUGUCUCUCAUCCCUGUCACCACCUCCCUCUCUGUCACUUUCUUAUUCUCUCCCUGCCUCUUUGCACGCUCUUUGCACAUCAGGCCCGGCCCCAGCCCAGGGUCUCUGGGCUCCAGGAAGCCAGCCAGGGGCUGUGCGGGCUGCGCUGUAACUCAGGAACUCCGCCAGCAAUCAUUUCAUUAGAUAUCCCCCUGGGGCACCGGCCUAGAACAGAGCAACAAAUAUUUACUAAUUCCAUUAACAGAAGAGAGUUGGAAUUUUUUUUUCCCAAGCGAAUAUCCGAGGCCCCAAGUUCAUGUAGCCACCCAAAGUUACACUUUGGUUCACCAAGACGAAGACUCAUCCUUCCUCUCUCUAUGGAUCUUUCAGAUGAAGAAAUUAAGGCUCAGGAGGGAGGAAAAAAAUAAAAGAAAGAAUUGUCCAAGGUCACCAAGGCAUCUGGACUCCCAUAUGUUGAGCUACUUCUGCUUGUGGGGCAGCUGCAAUACAUGAAUUCUUCACUACGCCGGAGGAUUUCUGCUCCAUGAAGUCUCUCAGAGAUCCAGGCUGAUACAGAGUUCAUCUUAACAAGUGCUUUCGUAGUCACCACAGCAGUGGGAAAUGAACAUGGAAAUCAUUGAUCAUGGCUCUUAAAGUUUCUGUUCCAAAGUGACACAGAGACAAGGUCUUGCUUUGACACCCAGGCUGGAGUGCAGUAGUGCAAUCAGAGGUCAUUACAGCCUCCAACUCCUGGGCUUAAGUGAUCCUCCUGCCUCAUCCUCCCAAGCAGCUGGAGCUACAAGUGUGCACCAUCAUGCCUGGCCCCUUUAUUCCUAAACGUUUCUUCAUGAAGGAAGAUACAAAUUUACAUGAGCCCAUGCUCUUCACAUGGGUAAGGGGAAAACAGAGAGAACUCACAGGGCACCCACAUAUUGUGCUUUAUCAUUUGACCUAGGAACAGUCUUGAAUAGGCAGCUUGGGUUUCUACUCCCAGAAAAUACUUUGACAUACAUUAAUUUAUUCACUUAAAACUCAUUAUUUCCUGGGUUUCCAUGCAGUGUCUCUGAAACUCACUCUUCCCCCUUUAUUCUCACAAUAUUGUAAAUAUCCUUAAUAUAAUCUAUCCUGCAAUUUCUUAUUGCUGCAUGCCCUCCUUCCUUCUUGGAGUGUGAGCUCUUUGGUGACAGGGACUACAUAUGCUUUCUCAUCCUUCCAGCACCUGUAACUGUUUCUGGCAUAUGUCGAGUAAUCGAUAAAAAACUUUAAGAUCUGCUAAUGAAUCAAGUUAUCGGUGAUUGUGCCUGGUAUCUUUCAUUUAUUUAUACAUUUAUCUGUGUGUGUAUUUGUACAUCCACCCAUGAAUUUAUCAAAGCAUCAUCCAUUCAUUCACCCACCCACCCAUUUUUCUCCAUGAUCUCACCCCAUUAACAAUUUGUAGAAAAUAGUCUGACAAAUUCACCCAAAAAGGCAGUAAAGGAAAAGGAUUUUCCAUCCAUUAUCCAUUCUUUUUUUCUGCCUUAAUUUUCCUUUCUACCAUCUCUCCUGCAUAUCUCUUCCUCUGUCUCUGGAGAGUUACAGGAGUGAAAACGAGAUGGGUCCUGAGAGUUGGUAUGGGGAGUAAAUUGCUUGGUGACAGCUUGGUUCCAGGGACGGAUGAAAACCUUAGCCUUAAGCAAAGUUCAGGGAAGCCCAAGGAGAGAGCUGAUGGACAGUCUGACUUGUUGAGGGUGAAAUCAAUUAAAGUACAUCAAAUCCAGAAUUCAUGCUUUCUCAGAGUGACAAAUCUAUGCUGGAAACUGAGAAAGACGAAAGGAGAAAAUUGCCUUUGACCUUUUGAAGACCGGCUGUUCCUUCUGUCAGGGGAGCCAGGCCUGGAGUGAGAUGCGUUCAUGAUGAAUUAUAACAGCCAGCCACCUUAAAAAAGAACGGGGUGAAAAGGUUACCAAAGAGAACCAAAAUGUGAGGAAUUCAACCAAACAUCAAGAUAAAUCAACUCAGGGCCAGGAGUAUUUGUGCCAUGCCUGCUCAGAGCCGCUAUGGACAAGCUCAGUUUGUUAGUUCAGCUCUUUGAAGCAUGAUAUGUAGACACACUUGCAUGUUCACACACAUUGUUUGCUAAACUGUGGGAAGGUAAUCAGAAGAGAAGAGCCACGAGGUUGUCAAUCUAGCAUCAGAAAUUUGGUGGCAUAGGAUUUCUCUACAAUGCUGUCCACUAAAACUUUUUGUAAUGAUGAAGAUAUCCUAUAGCCAAGCUGACCAAUACAAUAGACAUUAGUCAUAUGUGACUGUUGAGCACUUGAAUAUGGGUAGUGAAAUUGAAGAACUGAAUUUUUAUUUUUAGAUUUUAAUUAUUUUAAAUUUAAGUAGCUGCAGAUGGCUAAAAUUGAAUGGUGAACUUCCAGGACAAAGGAUGUUUUUGCCUUCAACAAUAUCGGAAAAGCAGGGGUGAGUGGAAUGUCAGAUUGCAAUGCAAUUGCUUGUGUUUCUGCGGAGUUCAUGGAAGAAACUCAUUAUACUCAUUUGUAAUGCUUGAUGGUAAAUUUGAUUUUCUCUUUAGAAUGUAGAGAUUAAAUCUUGGUUUAAAACUGCCUCUCUGUGAGCAGUUUCUCCAUCAGUGAAACGGGUGUAAUUUCAACUCGUUGAGAGUGCUCAGUUAUGCAAUAUAUGCAAUGUUUCUUAUCUGUGUCUGAAAACAGUUAAUAAAAGGUUGCUGUGCUUGACGCUAUUACUAUUAUUAGUAUUGUGAUUUAAAAACAAAGGAGGUUGUUGGUGAGAAAACAAGUUGUUCCACCUGGAGAUUUAUGCUGAAAUAACCACUUUACAUCACAACCCACGGAGUCCUUGAUGUUAGCUUGGUUUGUCAAUCCCACCACCAGAUACCAUUUAGAAAAUUGUCAUCUGUUCCUGGAUAACUGGUGUUUUCGUUUCCUAGAGAUCAAACUGAAGAUUGAAGAACAGAAAUCAUUUGUUGACAAUUGUCCUAGUUUCUUACUGGUUCCUCACUGAGGGGAAUUUUCCAAAUAACUAUGAUUUGCAUUCUUCAGCAUCCAGAUUAAUAUUACCUUUGCCAAAUUUGAGUCAUUUUGCCUGAAAAGCAUUCUUACCAAGUUUUACCAAGUUUUAAUAUUUCCUGUCUUUAGAAAAAAAAUAUACAACAAGACUUAACCUUUUAAAAUUUUUUUCUGAAACACACACACACACAUCCAUAUGCACACAAGCACACACACACACACACUUACCCAGAGGCAUAAAAUUUACAUAACAUAAAAUUAACUUUUGGUUGCUUCCACCUUUUGGUUAAUGUGGAUAGUGCUGUUAUGAUACAAUAAGCUGUUCAAUAAUUCGUUUCAGUACCUGUUUUCAAUUCUUUUCGGUAUAUACCUAUGAGUAGAAUUGCUGGAUUGUAUGUUAAUUCUAUGUUUAACAUUUUGAGGAAUUGCAAAACUGUUUUCCAUAAUGGCUGCAUCAUUUUACACUCCUACCAGCAAUGUAAUGCUCACCAACACUUGUUAUUCUCCUUUUAAAAAAAUUAUAACUAUCCUAGUGGGGGUGAAGUGGUAUCUCAUUGUGUUUUUUUAUUUGCAUUUCCCUAACAAGUAAUGAUAUUGAGCAUCUUUUCAUGUGCUUAUUGGCUGUUUGUAUAUCUUAUUCAGAGAAAUGUCUAUUCAAGUUAUUUACUUAUUUUAUUGCCUAAUUGCUCUGGCUAGAAUUUCUCAUGCAACAUUAAAUGGCAGUGAUGAAAGUGGACACCCUUGCCUUAUUCCUGAUUUUAGGAAGAAAGCUUUCAGUCUUUCAUAAUUCUCUGUGAUUCUUACUGUGGGGUUUUCAUAAGCGUUCUUUCUCAAUUUAAGGAAAUUCCCUUCCAUUCCUAAUUUUAUGAGUAUUUUAAAAAAUUAUCAAAGGUAUUGGAUUUUGUCAAAUGCUUUUUCUGGGUUGUAUGAGAUUACAUAUUUUUUCUUUGUUCUAUCAAAAUGUUGCAUUACAUUGGUUUUCUUUUUCUUUUCUUUUUUUUUUUUUUUGAGACGGAGUCUUGCUCUUGGACUCCUUGAACCACCCUUGGACUCCUGGGGUAAAUACCACUUGGUCAUGGUGCAUAAACCUUUUAAUAAGCUGUUGAAUUUUGUCUGCUGGUAUUUUGUUAUGGAUUUUUGCAUCUGCAUUAAUUGGUGUGUAAUGGCAUCUUUGUCUAGUUUUGAUAUCAGGGCAAUAUUACAUUCAUAGAAUAAGUCAGCAUGCAUUUCCUUCUCUUCUCUUUUUUUUCUUGGAAAAGAUUGAAAAAACUUGAUGUUAUUUCUUCUUUAAACAUUUGGUAGAAUUCACAGGUGGAGACAUAAUCUUUUUUUUUUUAAUUCAGUCUCUUUACUUGUUGUGUUAUAGGUUUGUGCAGAUUUUCGUUUUCCUCUUGAGUCAGUUUUAGUAAUUUGUGUGUUUCUAGGGAUUAUUAUACUUCAUGUAGGUUAUAUAAUUUGUUGGCAUACUGUUUGUUGGCAUGUUGUUCAUAGUAUUCUCUAAAAAGCCUUUUUAUUUCUGUAAGGUGGAUAGUAAUGUCUCCACUUUUAUUUCUGAUUUUAGUUAUUUGCAUCUUUUAUUAUUUUCUUUUCUGUUUUUUUUUUUGUUGUUGUUUUGUUUUUGUCAGUCCAGCUAAAGGCUUGUCAAUAUUCUCAACCUUUCCAAAGAACCAAUUUUUGGUUUUGUUAAUUCUCUUCAUUGUUUUCCUGGUCUCUUUUGUUUAUCUCUUCUUUUGUUUUCUUCCUGUCAUUAUCUCUCUUCUUCAUCUAAUUUUUAGUAAAGUUUGUUCUUAUUUUUCUAGUUCCUUAAGAUGUAAAGUUUGGUUAUUAAUUAGAGGAUUUUUCUUUUUCCCCUCCCUGAGAUGGAUUCUCACUCUGUUACCCAGGCUGGAGUGCAGUGGUGUGAUCUCUGCUCACGGCAACCCCCGCCGCCUGGGUUCAAGCGAUUCUCCUGCCUCAGCCUCCCGAG
rnacentral:lncRNA from 1 species